UAUAAGACUGGGAUAACUUCGGGAAACCGGAGCUAAUACCGGAUAACAUAUAGAACCGCAUGGUUCUAUAGUGAAAGAUGGUUUUGCUAUCACUUAUAGAUGGACCCGCGCCGUAUUAGCUAGUUGGUAAGGUAAUGGCUUACCAAGGCGACGAUACGUAGCCGACCUGAGAGGGUGAUCGGCCACACUGGAACUGAGACACGGUCCAGACUCCUACGGGAGGCAGCAGUAGGGAAUCUUCCGCAAUGGGCGAAAGCCUGACGGAGCAACGCCGCGUGAGUGAUGAAGGUUUUCGGAUCGUAAAACUCUGUUAUUAGGGAAGAACAAAUGCGUAAGUAACUGUGCGCAUCUUGACGGUACCUAAUCAGAAAGCCACGGCUAACUACGUGCCAGCAGCCGCGUAAUACGUAGGUGGCAAGCGUUAUCCGGAAUUAUUGGGCGUAAAGCGCGCGUAGGCGGCUUCUUAAGUCUGAUGUGAAAGCCCACGGCUCAACCGUGGAGGGUCAUUGGAAACUGGGAAACUUGAGUGCAGAAGAGGAAAGUGGAAUUCCAUGUGUAGCGGUGAAAUGCGCAGAGGUAUGGAGGAACACCAGUGGCGAAGGCGACUUUCUGGUCUGUAACUGACGCUGAUGUGCGAAAGCGUGGGGAUCAAACAGGAUUAGAUACCCUGGUAGUCCACGCCGUAAACGAUGAGUGCUAAGUGUUAGGGGGUUUCCGCCCCUUAGUGCUGCAGCUAACGCAUUAAGCACUCCGCCUGGGGAGUACGACCGCAAGGUUGAAACUCAAAG
rnacentral:rRNA from 1 species